rnacentral:siRNA from 1 species
GGUCCAGACAUAGUAAGGAUUGAC